rnacentral:tRNA from 1 species
GCCGCUAUCGUCUAGUGGUUAGGACAUAUGGUUCUCAGCCAUAUAACCGGGGUUCGACUCCCCGUAGCGGUACUA